UGGAUGCAUGUGCAGGCUGAAGGCGGUGUGCUCUUUAAAAUGGAGGAAGACCUCGUUUAUAUUCUCCAAAUCAUGGCUUUUCUUUGUUUUCGAUAGUAUUUUCUGUGAACCUGUGUAGGUUUAAAAAUCCUAGUCCGGCGUUAUGGUGACUGUUUUGUUGUAAGAUUGGGAUUUUAAGCCUCCAGAGCAGAAGUGUAGUGGCUCUGGUUCGCGAUUCAAGGCAGGAGAUCGCGCGGCUUUGGAAAGGCCUUCAGACACUGAGGCCUUUGUUCACAUCUUGCACGUUACCCUGUCUGUGCACCGAGGCCCAGAACCAGACGCCUGUCGCGGCUCUCCCUUGUCUGCACGUUACCCGCCCUUAUAAGGUAAGGGCAGGGGGAAGGUGGAGCCACUGCCUGUGUGCACCACAUCAUGGCAAGCAGUGGUGGGGUUGCCAGCCUAAGUAUUUCUGGAUCUGUGAGCCGAAACUGAACUCCCAUUUGCUUGCUCUUGGAUCCAUGAAGUCCAGCAUUGCUGCAUUGUGACAGGUGGGGCUAGAAAGGACAAUGCAUGGUUUGAUCGUAUAUUUUCACAAACUUAUAUUUUAAUUGUCAGUCUGCUCAGGCAAAUCGUGGGAUAGUUCUAGUUAAUGAACCAAUCACAUUGUAGUGUUCGGGUGACAUUUUCAAUGACGUUAAUGUACGGCUUAAAUAAGACCCCCAAAAAGGACUGACAUAGCAGUAUGAUACAUUAGCUUGGUUCCGAACAAGUUCGGAAACUUAAGUAUUGUUGUAGCUGUCGGAAUGAACGAGCGAAUGAAUGUCUAAAUAUGCAAUAUAAUCAUAUAAUUUAAGAUGUCUCAACACAUUCCUUUUACAGGUGCUUAAAAUGGCCACUGUUCUGAUUUAUUCUGCUGUAAUUUUCUUAUUGUUCUAACAGAGUGAAGAUUUUGUAUAUUUGUCAUAGACCUCAAAUUGACUACUUUAUGAGCUUCUAAUAUAUAAGUUGAUCUGUUCAGAAGAUUGUCCAAAUAAACUACUUCAUCCAA